GAUGAACGCUGGCGGCGUGCCUAAUACAUGCAAGUCGAGCGAACAGACGAGGAGCUUGCUCCUCUGACGUUAGCGGCGGACGGGUGAGUAACACGUGGAUAACCUACCUAUAAGACUGGGAUAACUUCGGGAAACCGGAGCUAAUACCGGAUAAUAUAUUGAACCGCAUGGUUCAAUAGUGAAAGACGGUUUUGCUGUCACUUAUAGAUGGAUCCGCGCCGCAUUAGCUAGUUGGUAAGGUAACGGCUUACCAAGGCAACGAUGCGUAGCCGACCUGAGAGGGUGAGCGGCCAGACUGGACCUGAGACACGGUCCAGACUCCUACGGGAGGCAGCAGUAGGGAAUCUUCCGCAAUGGGCGAAAGCCUGACGGAGCAACGCCGCGUGAAUGAUGAAGGUCUUCGGAUCGUAAAACUCUGUUAUUAGGGAAGAACAAAUGUGCAAGUAACUAUGCACGUCUUGACGGUACCUAAUCAGAAAGCCACGGCUAACUACGUG
rnacentral:rRNA from 1 species